rnacentral:lncRNA from 1 species
CAUGAUAGCAUUCCGUGCAACAGCAUCCGAUGGGGGGAUAAGCCAUUGGUGGUGGAGGACAAGGUUCUGGAACCUUUGGUGCUGCUGCUGGCGGUUUCGGUGGUGGUUCUUUUCGUUUCUCAGGUUCCUUAGGCUUUUCGGGUUGUUUAGGUUUCUCGGGUUCUUUGGGUUUUUCGGGUUCUUUCGGCUUUUCGGGUUGUUUAGGUUUCUCGGGUUCUUUGGGUUUUUCGGGUUCUUUUGGUUUUUCGGGUGCUUUAGGCUUUUCGGGUUCUUUUGGUUUUUCUGGUACUUUAGGCUUCUCUGGUUCUUUGGGUUUUUCAGGUUCUUUGGGCUUUUCGGGUUCUUUAGGCUUCUCAGGCUCCUUGGGUUUGGGAGGAGGAGGUGGAGGUUUGAUCUCAAUGCUCUUGAUUGAUCCAGCACCCUUGCAACAUAUCUUGUCCCUCAGCUUCUCAGGAUUGCAGCAUACCACAGUAAUGGUCACGGUGUUGGCUUUCUCAUUGUAUAUCUGGUCUCGUAUUUCUCUUGUUCGCAAAAACCCAUCAUCAAAAAAUUAUCAACUUAAACCAUAUAAAAAACUACUUUGCAAUUAUUAAAAUGCUAAACACAAAAAGGACAAGCAUAAAAAUCAGGAA